UUGCUGCGUGACAUCCAGUCCUACACAAUCUUGAUGAAAACGAGUUCCAUGGGUUGCAAAAUUACUAUCCUUUAAUUUUGCUAUAUACAUACUAUCCAUAAGACCUUUUAGAGAUGCCCAGACUCUACUGCGGUGCUAGAUUGGGCAUCUCUUAAAACUUUGAGGUGUGUGUAUGUAUGUGUGAGGGUUAUCAGAUGCACAUUCGGAUAAAUGAACUUCUGAUUGUAAUUCUAGCCUUCCGUCCUGUGACAUUCUGUGAUGUAGUCGUUAUUCAGUGAUAUAAUGAAUCUCACCUAUUGAUAU
rnacentral:sRNA from 1 species